AAUUGAGUGAAAAAUAGACAACGAAAUCUUGAAGAAUUGCACGGAGGUGCAAGCCAAGUUUAUUUGGCUCUCCAAAUAAUAUUGGUUGAACUAAGAAAUUGGUAAACGAAACCUGUAAUAGGACUGGUGUUUGGGCGUCUCUCUCUGUCACUGUUGUCUCUUGCUGUCACAUUGCUGUCUGUGUUGUCUUUCUAGGUCCAGAUGUUUUCAGAUAAUUCACAUUGCCCUGAUUGUGGACAACAGUGGUUCCCUAGUUUAGAACUAGGCCACUGGUUGUACCAAACUGAACUUGUUGAAAAUGAAUGUUACCAGGUAUUCUUAGACCGUAUUAACAGAGCUGAUUAUUGUCCUGAGUGUUAUCCUGAUAAUCCUGCUAAUAGAA
rnacentral:lncRNA from 1 species